rnacentral:lncRNA from 1 species
GUUGACAACAAAAGCUUGCUGGUUACUGCACCAAGUUUUGGUGUCAACAUACUUGAUCUUUUGUUUCCAUUGCCAGCGGAUUCAUCGGCUCAGAGUGGGAUCAAGACAUCAAGCUGAUGGAGUUCUUUAUAUUUCAAGAGGAGUCAUGGAGUUCUUUAUAUUUCAAGAGGAGUCGAUAGUGCUUUGAAUAUUGCAACUAGAC